rnacentral:rRNA from 1 species
UCCGGUUGAUCCUGCCGGACCCGACUGCUAUCAGAAUAGGACUAAGCCAUGCGAGUCAACGUAGCAAUAUGUGGCAUACGGCUCAGUAACACGUAGUCAACAUGCCCAGGGGACGUGGAUAACCUCGGGAAACUGAGGAUAAACCGCGAUAGGUCAUCACUUCUGGAAUGGGUAAUGACUUAAACCUAUAUGGCCCCUGGAUUGGACUGCGGCCGAUCAGGCUGUUGGUGAGGUAAUGGCCCACCAAACCUGUAACCGGUACGGGCUCUGAGAGGAGGAGCCCGGAGAUGGGUACUGAGACAAGGACCCAGGCCCUAUGGGGCGCAGCAGGCGCGAAACCUCUGCAAUAGGCGAAAGCCUGACAGGGUUAUUCUGAGUGACUUUCGCUAAGAAAGUCUUUUGACGCCUCUAAAAAUGGUGUAGAAUAAGGGGUGGGCAAGUCUGGUGUCAGCCGCCGCGGUAAUACCAGCACCCCGAGUGGUCGGGACGAUCAUUGGGCCUAAAGCAUCCGUAGCCGGUUUUACAAGUCCUCCGUUAAAUCCAACUGCUUAACAGAUGGGCCGCGGAGGAUACUAUAAGACUAGGAGGCAGGAGAGGCAAGCGGUACUCAGCGGGUAGGGGUAAAAUCCGUUGAUCCAUUGAAGACCACCAGUGGCGAAGGCGGCUUGUCAGAAUGUGCUCGACGGUGAGGGAUGAAAGCUGGGGGAGCAAACCGGAUUAGAUACCCGGGUAGUCCUAUCUGUUUAUGAU